rnacentral:misc_RNA from 1 species
AAUAGACACUUCAAAUGAGGACACAUGGAAAGAGAUAUGAAGAGUCCUAUAACACAACUUAAACAUGGAAAACAGCAAAUAACACAAAUAGUCCACAGGACAACACGAACCUACAAAACAAUGCUAAUUAAAAGAGACAUAUUAGUCCUAGAUCCUUAUAAAUUGUUGUGGUGGUUUGGAUCAUUAAUUAAAGCAUUACAUCAUCAUCAUAAUUUCCGACCAGCAUCAGAUAAUGUUGGACUCUCGAAAACCAGCGAAGCCAUUAUUGGUGAAAGUAUUGGAAAAGCCAUUGUUGUUGGAUGCAUUGGAGGGGGCAUUUCA